rnacentral:rRNA from 1 species
CAGCAGCCGCGGUAAUACGGAGGGGGCUAGCGUUGUUCGGAAUUACUGGGCGUAAAGCGCACGUAGGCGGCUUGGUAAGUUAGAGGUGAAAGCCCGGAGCUCAACUCCGGAAUUGCCUUUAAGACUGCCGAGCUAGCAGGUGAGAGAGGUAAGUGGAAUUCCGAGUGUAGAGGUGAAAUUCGUAGAUAUUCGGAAGAACACCAGUGGCGAAGGCGGCUUACUGGCUCAUACUGGACGCUGAGGUGCGAAAGCGUGGGGAGCAAACAGGAUUAGAGACCCGGGUAGUCCCUGUCUCUUAUAC